GGGUGGUCUGGCUACAACCGUCACCCCACUGACAGCCAAGGUUGAUUCAGCUGACCUGGGUGGCUAGACAAGUGUUCCCUGAUUUCCCUAGUGUGAGUCCCUCCUGAAGUUACAUAACUGAUCAAAAAGAAAACCUCUGUCAGGAGGUCCAUUGCUAAGUCUGGGACACUCAAGUAGCUGUGACCCAGCUGGAAGCUCCAGACAAAUUUUCUCCAGUCCAUUUGUGGGAGAACGCAGGUGGCCGAGACUCCAGACACAUCCAAGUGAGGUGCUUCAUGUAUCAGCCUGCCUUUCUUU
ensembl:misc_RNA 7SK 7SK RNA